rnacentral:rRNA from 1 species
UACGUAGGGUGCGAGCGUUAAUCGGAAUUACUGGGCGUAAAGCGUGCGCAGGCGGUUUUGUAAGUCUGACGUGAAAUCCCCGGGCUCAACCUGGGAAUUGCGUUGGAGACUGCAAGGCUGGAGUCUGGGAGAGGGGGGUAGAAUUCCACGUGUAGCAGUGAAAUGCGUAGAGAUGGGGAGGAACACCGAUGGCGAAGGCAGCCCCCUGGGUCAAGACUGACGCUGAGGCACGAAAGCGUGGGGAGCAAACAGG